UCGAAACAGCGGCCUUCGGGCCUCGCUGCACCCUUGUCUUUUGCGCACCGUAUUGUUUCCUCGGCGGGCUUGCCUGCCGGUUGGACAUCAUAAAACCUUUUUGUAGUUGCAAUCAGCGUCAGAAAAACAAUAAUUAUUA
rnacentral:misc_RNA from 1 species